rnacentral:rRNA from 1 species
CCCUUAGAUGUCCGGGGCCGCACGCGCGCUACACUGAAGGAAUCAGCGUGGCUUUCUCCCUGACCCGAAAGGGUUGGGAAACCCGUUGAAUCUCCUUCGUGAUAGGGAUUGGGGCUUGAAAUUGUUCCCCAUGAACGAGGAAUUCCCAGUAAGCGCGAGUCAUAAGCUCGCGUUGAUUACGUCCCUGCCCUUUGUACACACCGCUCGUCGCUACUACCGAUUGAACGGUUUAGUGAGGGCCUCGGAUUGGUCUCGGCCCGCUCUUUACCGGGCGGCGCCGUUGGUCGAGAAGACGCUCGAACUUGAUCGUUUAGAGGAAGUAAAAGUCGUAACA